rnacentral:lncRNA from 1 species
UUAUGUGUUUAAGUCAGGUCCAAGAAGAGUAUCUUAGGGUUUUAUUUGUUUUUCUCCUUACUAUAUAAGGAUAAGAAACAAUUGUAAGAGGCAGUUUUUAAUCAAAAUUUCAGAAUUCUUCUCAUGCCUUUGGCGUGUAUUGCUUUGAGUGAGAGUGAGGAUUUGCUUUCAUCAAUUGCACCAGGAAUCUUGGCUUACUUAUCAACUAUUCGUUGUGGCGUUUGUCAGAUUCUCAUCUAAAUCCUUCGAUCAUUGGUGUUUCAGCUUCUCUAAGUGUGGGGUGCCAUAGGAGGUGGGUUUAUCAAAUCUUUGGAUUCUAUAUCUACUUGUGCGUGUGGGUUUGAGGCUUGUGCCAUAGGGUUCCGCAUCAGUUACGCUAUGAUAUGGAAGACCAGGUGUGGCCUGCACUACGCCCCUAGCACUAUGUAAGAGAAAGUCCGGGUGUGGCCUGCACUACGCCCCCGGCAUGGUUGGAUAAUGUUAUGAUAUGUAUAUGUAAGAGAAAGUCCAGGUGUGACCUGCACUACGCCCCUGGCACAAUUGGAUUAUGCAGAGAGUUAUUGGUGACAAAUCCAUCCGUGAUGUGAAUUGUUUGUGAUGUAAUGCAUUUCAUGAUGGCAUAUGUUUAUAAACAGUUUUGUUGUUCUGCUCACUGGGCUCUUGUAGCUCACCCUUUUUCCUAACCCCCAGGUUUGCAGGUUCAAAAUAGACCGAAAAGUCGUCAAGGGUAAAAGCUAUGUCUAUGUAAUAGAUUAGUAGUGGACAUGAUACGUAAACUAAUGUAAUGUUAUGUAAAGUGUUGUAAAAUAAUGUAAAGAGGAUUAGUAUUGUGCUUGGCCCUAAUGUAUGGUUAAUCCCCCUUUUUGUACAAGAUCUUAUGUUAAUGUUUUAAUGAUGAGUUAUGUUGAACCAGCCUUGACAUAUGAUAUGCUACCCUGCUAGAGCAUUUGAUGAGGGCUCUAGUGUGGGGUUUUUAUGUUUACUGUUAUGGUGCAUGCACAGGUCAAGUUUGGUGUAUAAAAAGUUUAAAGAUUUUAUGAAUGUUGAUCAUGUAUGGGAUUUAUCAGGUAUGACAGGAUGUAUACUAGGCUUGCUACGAGUCCCGGCGACCUUAAGUCGAUCUGGAUCCUAGCGCCGGUAGCGGUCCGGUUUCCGGGUCGUUACAGAUAAAAAUAAAGUUAAGUGAGUAAAAUGAGUUUUUAUAAAAAAAAUGAGAGGGUAAAUUAUGCAUUUGGCCUUUAUUAUAUAUAUACAUAAAAAUGUAUUACUUAUUAGAAAUAAAUGAAUUAGUUAUGAAAAAUAUGUACGUAAUCAAACUCUCACAUGAGUUGACUUUACUAACAGUUGUUAAGACAUGUUUUAAGUUACUUUUUCUAUUUUAGUGUGAUUGACUUUAUUUUUUCUUCAUUUUCGUGGGAUCGUUCCAUUGACGAUUAUUUUGUUAUGGAGUUUUCAAUAGUGCUAUUUUUUUUUAUAAAUAAUCGAUUUAAAAUAGUCAUUAAACGAAUGACAAAAGACAAAGAUAAAAAGCUCAAAAUGCAGUAGUUAUGCAUUAAAAAAGAAAAACAAAAUCUUGUUAAAUGUUAUUAUCCAUAUAUAUAUAUAUAUAUAUAUAUAUAUAUAUAUAUAUAUAUAUAUGUAAACAUUUACAAAAUCAAUGUUUUACCACCCACCAUUAAGCUUUUGUCGGUACUUCUAAACGAAUAUAAUCAUACAUAAUACCACUAAAAGGGCUUCCAUUUCUAGUCUGAGUAAGAUAAAUUGUAUUCUUUCCUUGGAUAAGUUGAGAAGCUGGUACUUGAAUGCUAUAGAACCAACAUAAACCAUGAAUUCCGUAUCUUGCAAUAGCAUUAUCCUUGCCUAUUAGCCUUGUUGUGAAAAGAGGUUGUUUGAGAUUGGCAUUGUUGAACCUCACCUUUUGUAUGCAUGAUAGAUUUUUCAUUAUUAAGUUUAAGAUAUAAGAAUAAUGAAAUUGCCAAGUAAAAAGCAAAUGAUAUACCUGAAGUUCAGAAUUAGUAGCUGAUGCCAAGGCUAUUUGCAAAGUGUAACUUCCACUUUGCAUUACACUUUUAAGUUCAAAUAUGAUCUGCCAUGUAGUUGCCUUAUAUGCCGUAUUUCCAACCUUUCUGCAAUUUGAAUAACCAAUCUCAAUAUAAUUAUAUGGUUUACUUCAAGAUAUGUGAUUUAAUUUUGUGUCAUAAUAGUAUAUUGUGAUAUAAAUUUUAUAAUAGUGUAGAGUUUACAAAUUAUCAUUGUUUGUAACUGACAGGAUAUUAUGAGGUACUAUUUUGAUACAAAAUUGAAUCACAUAUCCUGAAAUAAACUACAGAGUCUGAAGUAAAAACCCGAUGAAACCACAUGGUACAUUUUUGUACAUUUUUCUUAUUAUUAUUAUUAUACUUCAAGUAAAUUAAGGAUUGAGAGGAAAUAAAAUAGAUGUUAAUAAAUACCUGUUAACAUGGGCAAAGAACCAAUCUUUAGCAUAAUUACUAACACCAACGGUAUAUAUGAGAUCAUUCUUAGGAUAUAGAUCAGUAUAUCUUUCCCACAAUCCAUAUUGUCUAAAUCUGUACAGAAAAAAGCAAUAAUAAAAAAUGAUGCAUGAUAUUAACUUUGGAUGAAACAAGAAGGCAUGCAGCAAUGCGGAAGGGAGCUAACUUGUUUGCUGGGCUAUCAAUAUAUAAUUUGUUGACGAGUGUUGGGUUUGCGUCUGGUAUAUAGAAUUCAGAAGCAGUACGAUCAGGAAUGCCAAUUUCCCAAAGAGUUGGACCAUUUCUUGGAGGAUCAUAUGUAAGUACACCCAAUUUGAUCUCAGAUCCUGUAGUUCAACAUGUACAUAAUUUCAUCAAGUAAUUAAAGAAAAUUAGUCUAACCAUUUAUAAAACUACUAUAAGCUAUAAAUACCUGGUUGAAUAAUGACAUCAACAUUAUACUUGUAAUCUCCAAGAAAACCAGGAACAAAUGCAUAUAAACUAUAUUUCCCAGCUCUGAUAUUUUUAAUUGAGAAACUUCCUUUCUUGUCAGCUUGAGUCCAAAAUUGGUAACCCUAUAAGUAAAUUGAAAAACCAUAGCAAUGUUUAGCCAAGAAAUUCCUCAUGUCGCUAGAUAAUUUGAAAAUGAAAUUUCAAAUUUGUUGGAAUUUCUAACCUUUACUUCUGUUUGCCAUGAGCCCACAACACCUGGUGCUGCCAAUCCCACAUAAGCUAAACUUGCAUCAAUCAAUUUUUCAUUGAUGUAUGGGUCACGAACUACUAAUUGACCUACGACAUUUCCCCGUUGAUCAGAAGAAGGGAAAUCUUCAGAUCGAGGAAAAUUAUAUGGCCAGCUUUUAACUUCAGUUGACAUCUAAUAAUCAACAACAAGCAUGAGUACUCAAAAUUGCAUCCAAAAUUCUCAUGAACAAAAAGAAUGAAUAAACAAAUAGAUAUGUACUUGUCUUUUAGCAUCUUCCCAAAGGGCUUUGGGAUUUUCAGAAGGCGGAAUAGAAUUAAGAUAGACGUAAACAGGGCCAAAAACUUUCUUCCAUGGCUCUCCAUUUCGAUACUCUGCAUUUAAGUCCUUCCCAGCAUAAUGAACACUACCAAACAUCUAAAUAAAAAUAACUGAAUUACAAUUAAAAUAUAUUGGUGAUAUAAAAGAAUUUUGAAGGGAAAUGAACCUCUCAAUGUAAAAAUAUUGAGGCGUUCUACUUAUAAAUUGUUAACAAGUAGUGAAAAUUUUCAAAUGUCACAUACUCACAUUGAGAACAAUAGGCCCCACAUGAGAGGUUAGGUCUUGCUUGACGGGGCCAGCAUCGCGAAAUUCAUUACUAGGUGUGAUCAUCCAAAAUCCAACUGGUGGGUCAUUUGAUAUCCACCCAUGCACCUUGUUGUCUUUGUUCUCACAAGAGUACUGGUAUUUAUCAUCCACCUGCUCGUAUCAUUCCACAAUAUCAAUGAAUAAAAUAAUAAAUGAAGGUACAUAAUAAUAAGACGUUUCAAUUUUAUAAAUUCCUAAAAAAUUAAUUAGCAUUUAUUAUUUCCCUAUAACAUUUUCUUUGAUUUCUAACACAAUUUUCUUUCAAUUAUUUUACAUUUAAUCAAAACAUUUUGCAUAAGAAAUUAAAAUGAAGCUAUUAAUACUUAGGUCAAUCCGGUCCACAAAUACUCAAAAAAUACAAAGUGGGUCCCAUCUAUUGUUUUGCGAUGGGAUCUACUUAUUUAUGUCUUGUAAAUCUUUUGAAUCCAUAUUCCCAUAAUUAAUUACCUCUCCUUUUUGUUGAUGGUUGACUGGAUUUGUUAAACGAACAGCUUCAGGAUAGGCUAGAGGUUGGCCAGUGGUGCGAUCUUGAGGCAUUGGCAUUACUCUUUGUCUAUCAUCGGAUAUUGCCAUGUAGUGAAACCUGACCAUUAAUUUCAUAAAUAAAUGUUCUUGUGGCCUUCAAUUGAUUGAUAUAAAAUAAAUAAUGAUAAACAGUAUUGAUUAAUUCUUCAUUUACUUUUCACUUUGAAGUUUGAAAACCACUCUAAUUUGAUCCAUAUCAACAUCAGGCCACCCUUUUAAGCGUUCCAUUACAGCAUACAGAUAAAGCCCUGAGCUUCCACGUCGAACUAUGUACCUGCAAAGUUGAAAUUGGUGUGUAGAGAUCAGACUUUCAUUAACUUUGUUUAUUUCUUAUAAGGUGGAAAAAGUAUGCAAUGAACUAGGGCUCACCUUUUGUCUACCUUCAAGGGAACUGUGGUUUUAUCCAUUGAAGGGCUCCAUAUCUUAGAGAACGAAAUCUCUACUUGCUCUUCAUUUUGCACUAUAAUACUAAACUUUGUAGCUUGUACCCUAAAAAUUAUAGUAAUAAUUAAAACUUCGACUUGAAAAAAAAAAGUUUAACUAGAGUUUAUAAAGUAUUAAUUUAGAUAUGCAUUUACUUGUCAAAGAUGUUAGAAUCUCCAGGUCGGUUCCAUACCACAUCCCAGUAUCUAAACUCCAAGAAUUACUGACCACAAUUAGAAUUUAUAAUCACAAUGUAAUGAAUAAAUAGAAAUUGAUAAAGGAUUAAAUGCAUACCCUCGAUUAUCUUCAUAAUUCUUGGUUUCAAGUACGUUAUUUAUUUCUUUAUAUUUAAUUCUGAUAACAUCACCGCCUGGACUAGAGAAAGUGACUUGGACAAUUCCAUUAUCAAUCACCACCUUAUUUAAACAUAUUAAAUAAUUAAUUAAUUGCAUAGAAUAUGUCGGUAAUAAUAGAAUACAUCUAUGAUCUGGAGAUUUAUUAGUGACAAAUAAAAAAAAUAAGAUGUAAAAUUUAAGUAUAUUACUUGCUUAUUAGUUACUUGUAGCUGCACCCCAAGAGCUGAGCUCUUAUUAGUUGUACUUGGAAUUUUUCUGCGAAUAGAACAGUACGCAUGUUAUUCCUAAUAAGCUUAAUUACCUUACUUCUCUCUUCUUUGUCACCACAUGCUAGAAAAAAAAAAGUAGUAAUGAAAAUCACAAAGAAGAAAUGAAAUAAAGAGGAAGAUCAUGAGUAUGAACCUUGUUGGGAUCUUCGCAGAGGAAGCAAUAAGGAAGAAGAAGAAAAAGCAAAGACCGAUAGCAGGCCAGCUAGACCCAGCAAGCAAAUGUAUCUUGCCCAUUUUGUGUGGAGAAAUUCUAUAAAAUAUGAAGCAACGAAACAAGAAAUUAGAUAAUUCAAGAAACAUAAAAUUGAUCAAAGGAAAUUAUAACAAGAAAUAUAAGACAUACUUUGCUUAAUUGAUUUUCAAUACCAAAGGAAGUAUUAGAAAAGAAUGAAGACGAAGGAGUAUGAUAAAGAGUGGUGGUAUAAUUUUUUGUUUCACUCUCAAUACCCAUCAAUACUUAAUUUGGCACUUUUUAUAAUAUCAAGUUUAAGAGUACCAAGUCUAAUUACAAUAAAAAAUUUGAUGGGUACUAAACAUUUUUUAUUGCUAUUUGUUAUAAACAUCAAGCAUGACAAAAGAAAGAACCUCACUAUCACAACCACGCAACUGUCGAUCAAGGAAUAAACAAAAGAAAAGAAAAAGAAAAAAAUUCAAAACACCACUUAGAGGUGAAGAGGAGAACUCACACUGUGGGUAGGAAGGAGAAAAAGCUCCCCCUACCCGAAUAAGAUAAAAAGGAUUAGACAGUGUGGCAGAUGAUAGGGCUUAUUCCUCGGAAAAAAUAAGAGAAAAAUAAACAAAAGCACCUCUCUAUAAAUAAACUUUAGAGAGAGAUUCUUUUGAAUAAAUUUCUAGUUUGGAAUUGGCCAAUAGUACAAGAACUUAAGGUAGUUUUAAAAAGAGCAAUUAAGGCAUUAAAAUAUCUAACGUCUUCUAUUUAUUGUAUUUCUAUAUUAGGAUAGUUAUUUAUGGUGCUACAUUUGGAUUCUCUUUGUUUUAUUUGCUUGGUGUUGAUUUGAUAUAUUAAAAUAUUUUUUUACUUAUUAAAAAAUGAGCGGAGGAGGUAAAUGUUGGAGAUUACAUUCAUAGGCAGCCACACAAAAGAAAUCAAGAAGUAGAAAAACAAAAAGAAUAGAUUAAGAGAAAAUAUUAAAAAAAGGAAAAUGAGAGGUUUCCUAGAGAGAAUAAGCCUCUCUCUAGAUUUUAAAAAUAAUCAAACAUAAACUUUCGAAGAAAAAAUAAAUAGCAAAUUAAGGACAAGCAUGAAAAAACAAUAUAAAGCUAAUUUCACUUGUACUUAAUUAAAAUAUUUAUAAAAUCUUAUUAUAUUUAUAAAAAAGGUAUGUUAUGAAAAAUACUAAAAAUAUCUUAAUGAGAAAGUAGUUUAACAGGGUUGAAAAAGGAUAUUAAUGUCCAAUAAAUAGUGAUGUCAUUAUUUAGCUAGUGUUAAAUUUGGGCCAGAUUUAAUGGAGAGCUAAUUCACCUAAAAACUAAUUUAAAGGAGUGUCUAAUACUCUUAUAAGGAACAUAUUAUCUUUGUUUCAAACCGAUGUAGGAUUCAACAACUAAACAUGCAAGUAUGACUUGUACGACUAAAUCGUUAUAGGUUUAAACUUAGAAAUCAAAUCAUGCUAAAUUAAUUUGGUCUUUAGGUAUAUACAGUUCGAUUUGAUUUUAUUUUAAAGUUUUUUAUUUUUCAAUUUAGUUUAGUUAGUUUAAUGAAAAGGCUAAUCCAACCAAAUCCAUCGAAAUUUUAUGUUCUUACGUGGGUCAAGAUAUAUAAUUAAAUUUUAUAUGUUAUAAAUAUCCUAAAUAUUGAUUUUUCAAGUAGUUGUUUAUUAUUUAUUAUUUAAUUUUUCAUAUUAAAUUUUCAACUUAAUUAAGAUACUGACUUCAUUAAAAUAUAAAAAUUUCUAAAAAUUAUGGACAUUUUAAAAUAAUAAAAAUUUUAAAUUGUAAAAUAAAAUUUAAAAAUAUUUGCAACAUCUAAUUAUAAGAUUAUCUCAGAACAAUAACAAAAUUAUUGUUAUCUUCUUGUUUUUUUUUUUUUUCUUAAAGACAUAAUUUAGGAGAUGAUGGUUGUAAUAAUUUAUUAUAAAAAGUUUAGUUAACAAAGAUUUAUUAUAAUUAAAUUAACUCAAAAAUUAUACUAUUUUGUAUUUUUAAUUAAUAAAAUUUUAGUAAAAUAUAUUUAUAAUAUUUUAACUGUAAAAAUAAUAAAUAUGGUUUAAUAUUUAAAAAAAAUUAUAAUUAUUAAAAUAAUAAAUUAUCAUUUUUAUAGUUUGUUCAUAAUGAUCCAAAAAUUCUAUGCCGAUGUUUAUCUCAAACUAAUAACAAAAAAUUAUACAUUUUAUCCCUGUUUUUGCAAGGAAACUCAUUUCCUAUAUUUCUUGGAUUAUUAUUGAUUCUAGAGCUUCUUUUUUUUUCCUUUUCUUGUCACCUUAAAGUUUGAUCGUAAUCAAUUUAAUGUGAGAAUUGCAAUUUAUGAGGGCGCAAUAUCAGUACUAAAUAGAUUUAUUUAGAUUAGAUUUAUAAAAAUUUAUAGUGUAAAAUUAUAGUGAAGUGAUAGAUGUCAAAAUCACAAAAAAUAAUCUAUCUAAAUCUAAUCAAAUAUAAGUUGUGUAUAUGGCAAAUAGAAUUAUCUACAAGUAAUUAACACUAAAAACUCCAAUUAAUAAUUAGAAAAAGUAAGUAAAUAAGUAAAAGGAGGGGUUUUGAUGAAAAAUGAAAUUAAAAAAAUAAUAAUCAAGAGAAAAUCAAAUUAAUGCAAAUAAAUUCUAAUUCAUUCUAAUAAAUUAGUUCUAGUUAUGGAAAACACUCCUCAUAAUCAAUAUCUGUAAAUUAAUUAGAAAACAUUCGCUAAUUAACUCUAAUCAAUAAAUAAUCCAAAAAAUGUCUAUUGGAUUUAAUUUAUUAACUGCUUUAAGAAAAUAGAGACCCAAUUCUAACCAAUAAACCAAAUCACGUAGUGGGUUCAAACUAGAUCAUGUAAUUCCUUAGUGAGGAACACUAAUUGUUAGUUAUUGUUGAAUAAUUCAAACAAUUACAACAUUCAAGCAUCCAAACUAAUAAUGUAUUAUCUUAAAAAUAUGAACAUCGGGCCAUAUUGAUCAAUUAACAAGGCAAUAUUAAUAAUAAGAACUAAAAUUGCAUAAAAAUUGAAAAAAUAAAAGAUGAACAAUAAUGUUUAAAUCUCACACUUCAUGAAGAAAUUGAAACUUCAACUUUUCUUCAACUAAAAUUAAAAAAAUUAGUCGCACAUGACUGAAAGAAAACACAAAAUAAUGAAAAAAAUUCGGCUGGAAGAGAGAUGAUGUGGUGCUGUCACCCAGCAAAAUAUUUAUAGCAGCUAAAUCCUGGCAGAACCCUCACCAAACUUUCCUAAAGAUUUUGAUUUGAAUUACUUUAAUGAGAGAUCUUUUAAUUUAUUUCCUUGAGGAGAGAUUCCUUGAUUUUUGGAAGAGAUCAUGCCGCACUUAAGGAGUGAAAUCACGUGAGAUUCUGCAGCUUUAAAUAAGGAGAUAAGAUUUUCCUUGUAAAUCUGAGUCAAUCACGCUUUUUGUUGUGGACUGGCAAUGUGGCAGGAGGUUUGGGCAUGUCUCUGAUCCACUAUUGAUUGGGUCAUGUGCCCUUCUGUUCAGAGCUCUAAGCAAAUUUUGACUCUGACAAAACAAGAUCAGCUAGCAUGUUUGCCCAAAUUGCUGAUCAAGACUUAUUCAGCAAAUUUUCUCGGAAUGUUCAUUAAAUCAGUUAUUUCUAUACUUUUCUGUGAAAGUACGUCAAAAGGUAUAAGAUUAAUCAGAAAAUACUCAAAUCAGUACUAAAAAUAGAACAGAAUGUAUGCUAAAAUUAUGCCUUAUUAUAAAGUUUACAUAAAACUGCAUCUAUUUAUAUCACGUGUUCAUAUAGACUCAAUCUAAACAAUGUAAUAAACACUGCUAUAAGACAAGAUAAAGAGUCAUAUGUUGAUAGCGCUGAGUUCUAUAAUAUUUUAAGACCGUUAAUUAGUUUUAUUAAUUAUAGCUAAGCAGGUUUAGUUAGUUAAAUUAACUCCUGAAAUACAUGUUCUUUUAUUAGUUGGUUAGUCCUCUAACUCUAUUUAUCUGCCUUGCAUACGAAUUUCUAUACUAUAUAUACAGUUAAAAAAAGGCAAAAUAUUAGGAUGGUCGAUUAUGUCUCUCUGUUAUUUAUUUGUUUAUCAUGUUUUAAAUUUACAAAUAAAUAAUAAUUUUAUUAUUUAAAUAAUUAUAAAUUAAUAAAUUAUUCAUAUAUCUUCUAAAAUGAUUUAUGUUUAUAUUUCUUAUUUAUGAGUUUAAUUAAUUUAAUUAAGUAAUUAUGUAGGAUAAUUAUUAAAAAUUAAUAAUUUUGAUAAUAUUUAAAUUAAAAUUUUUGAGAUAAGAUUAUUAAAAUAAUAAAUUUAAAUAUUAAUUAAAAACAUUAAAAUAAUUAUCAUAAUAUCAUAUAUUAGGUUUAAAUUGUUAAUUUUUUUGUUUAAUAAAUUUUAUUUUGUUAAUUAAUUAAUAUUUAAAUAUACUUUAAUAAUUAUUAUGUUAAAUUUUUAACCUUGAUGUGGUUUCUACAUUUAAAAUUUUGAUAGUUUUUAACAUAUCUACCAUUAAAUGUAUAGGUUUUGAUUCAUAUAUAUAUAUAUAUAUAAUUAGAACAAUUAAAAUUUUUAGAUAUGAUUAUUAAAAUAACAAACUUAAAUAUUAUUUAAAAACAUCAAACAUAAUUAUCAUAAUAUUAAAAAAUUAAAUAAUAAGUUCAAAUUUAAAAAAUAAAUAUUAUAAAAUAUACAAAAUAAUUAUCAACAAAGUAACGAUUAAAAAAACAAAAUAGUAAAGUGAUUAUCUUAAUUUAAUUAUUAAUAUUUUAUUAUUAUUUUAAAUACAAAAAUAUAUAUUGAAGUAGUACAAACUCAAUAGGAGGCUAAUCUCAUAUAUUUUAAAAUUUUAGUAAAUAUAUUAAAAAAUUUCAAACAAAUCAUUUCUUCUAUAAAAGAUAUUUAACAGUUUAAUUUCGAAAAUAUUUAAAUAAAAUAUUAAAAUUUAUUAUAAUAUUGAGAUUAUAGUUCAAGUGCAUUAAGAUGCACCCUCUACUCCAUGUAAAAAGCCGCAAAAUAUGGUGUGAAAACUCUAAAGAAACUCUUUGAUAGUUUCUAAAGUUGCAAAUUUAGAGUUUUAUUUGGUAGAAGUAAACAGGAUGAAUGAAUAUGAAUGAAUAUAUAUAUAUAAAGUUAAACUUGAAACAAAGAUACAACAAUAAUUAUAGAAUAUAAACAUAAUUUAUAUAAAUUUAUUAGUAAUGCAAACAUAAUUUAUGUAAACUUGAUGAGCUACAAAACUCACUACUUUUUCCUUAUUAAAUUCUAUGAUUUUGUUAUAAUUUUUAUAUAAAUAAUUAAUUUUUACUUCAAAUUUGAUUUUGGACAGGUUUUUGAGAAAAAUUAAGAAAAUGAAUGAAAAAAGACUGAAUCAGGAGAUUUUCGGACUAGGGGUUAUAGCUUUGGACAAGACUGUAGCCUAAGGCAAUGGAUAGCUCCAAAAUUCAAAAUUUCGCCAACUCAUCAUGAUUUUUUCAGUACAGAGAUAAGAUCAGUUUCAUGUUGGAGCAAACAUAAUUAGAUUAGGAUGAGAAUAAGAUAGGAGUAGUAGAAUUUAUUUUAAAUUGUGAAUAUUUAUAUUUUUGUUGGGGAAAAUCCUAUAUAAAGGCUGCUCAAAAUUAACCUAGAUAUAUCAUAAUUUAUUUUCUCCUUUUCUUAUUUUAUAUUCGGCCGCUUCACUUGACGCCCCCUUCUUCUUCUCUUUUCUUUAAUUUUUUUAAUUUUAUUAUGGCUUUUAGAGGCUGAACAAUUCUUUUCAAUUGAAGGUUAAUCCAAAUUGAGAUUUUAUUUAAGUUGUGAGAUUAUGUGCUUAAAUUCUCUUCAUCUUAUUUCUAUUUUCUAUUAAUUUUUGAUUUACGAGAACACCACCUCCAUUGUUGUCCUCUUAGGAAUUCAAGAGGCCUAUUGGAUCUCUUGGAAAUAUAACAUAUUGCUAAUUAACCCAAUUAAAUCCGUAAUUAUUUAAUUAGAUUAAUAACAAGUAGCAAUUAGUGUAUUCAUUUAUGUUAAAGAAUUAGUAGAUUUGAUUUAAAUAAUUUGCGUGUUAUUAUUGAUCAAAUUUAGGUUCUUCUCUCUUAAAGCAGUUAACUAAUUAAAUUUAUAUGCGUGUUGGGGUUGUUAGUUAACUAUGAAUUAAUUUAAGCGCAAAACGAAUUAAUUUAAUCAUAAGGAAGAACUAGUGGGAUUUGCAUAUUUAACCACUAUAACCAAACAAUAGAUAAUAAAAUGAAUUAUUUUUUCUAAUCAAUGAUCAACUACCAAACCCUUCAAUUCGAUUACGUUUAGCUGAAUUUAAUUUAAUUAUUUAUUUUACCAUCUCAAUUGCAUUGUUUGUUUUUCUUUUAAGUUUUUUUGGUUUACCCAAUGUACAAUCAAUUUCUUCAAACAACAAUUCACUUCUUCUCUCUUUUUGUUUUAAACUAUUCUUCUUGUUCAACUAGACAUCUAAAUUAAACAGAGUUAAGGUCUCUGUGGAAUCGAUACUCACUUACCCUAUAUACAAAUUCAUAUUGAAUCAAGAAAAGUGAGAUAAGUUUUAAUUGACAGAUUCAACACCUGUCCAAUUUUGGCGCCGUUGCCGGAGACCUUUAAUAGUUUAUUUUUAUUUUUAUGACAAGGUCUGAAAAUCGCAGAAUUCAGUUUGAUCCAAAAAUUGAGAAGACUGCAAAAAGGUUGAGAAAAGCAACCAAGUUGUAAAAACACGCCAAUUUGGGAGCCUCUCAACCACCUGCCCGAUCACCUCUACCAGCCGAAAACACCACGUCUUCAACCGAGUCUCUAAUUGACACCAACCAAAGAGACACUAUGGCCGCAGCUGCCGCUGAAGAACAAUCCUUUUGUAUCACAUACAUAGUCUUAAACGCACCCUUGAAAUUGCGAACAGGUAUGAUUCAUAUGUUAUCAAAAUUUCAAGGGUUGGAAAAUAAAGACACCGUCGUCAUCUGAAAGAGUUUUAUGUGGUUUGUUCCAGUAUGAGACCACAGAGUAUAACUGACGAGCAAAUAAGGUUAGAGACUUUGAUACGGAUCCAAAAGGGCAAAUUUCUAACAAUGGUGUGGAGCAAACUUAUGUCAUUCAAAUGGAUCUAAAAGGAGUUCAAAAUCAUAUUCAUAUGAUCAAUAUAUAUUUGAGGCUUAUGCCAUAGGGUUCCGCGUCAGUUGGUAUCAAAGCCAAAGUGAGGUAAAUUCUUAUUUAUCUCAGGAUCUAGAGUUUUUUUUCUUAGUUUUCCUUUUCUUCGUGAUUGAUUUCGGUGAAAGCUUUUGUGUUCAUGGCUGCACCUUCUUGAUCAUUAAUCACCAAAAAAAAAAAUGAAAAAAAAAUCGCCUUUGCCAUAUUUAUCUUGAUCUGGCCGAAAUUGUGAUAUGCUUCCUUUUUCAUCCAUAUUUCCUUAUCUAUCUCAAUUGAUUGCUGUAGUUUAUGGAAAUCAAUUUUGAAUUGGGUUGAAUCCAGAUUAGGAGACAAAAGAAAUCUGCCUAUUUCUUAAGGUGCACAUUUAAGGCAACUGCAUCUAAAUCGAUUUGGUGUCAAAUCCAUCUUUUAAUGCCCAUUUUCGUCCAUGAUGCUGCACUGAGUGAGAUUUUUUUUUUAGUCUAUUUGUGGGGUUUUAAUACUUGCCUUUUUGGGUAGAUUUAAAUAGAUCCGUAUUUAAUUUGCGUUGAAGCGAAUUAAAAUUCAAACUUUUGUCCAGAUUCGCUUUUAUUUGAAUUCAGAGUUUCGUUUUUGCUUUAAGCUUGCUUUUACUUCCUUGACAUUGCUGGAGUAUUGUUUGCUUGGAUCUAUACUCUAGGUAAUAUUUUUCAAGUAGCACAAAGCCUAGUUCGUGUGUUACUUUCCAAAUUGUCAGUGUUUUCUUUCUUUUUUUUUUUUUGCGCGCUUCCUUCUUUCUUUAGGUUUUCUUCUUUGUUUCAUUAAACGCACCUUGUGGUUGGUUGGUUGACCUUAGUUUCUGAAGUGUAAUUGAAGAAUCAACAAAAGAAUGGUAAGAGUGCAAACACUUGAGUACUUUUUUUUAACACAAUAUUUGCUAGUUCUUUUUGUUCUUUGUUGAUUUAAGGUAGGACGAGUAAAGACAAGAAUGUGGUACAUCGUACUGAUGGAAGUGAAUCGAAUUUGGGUAAUGAUUAUAAGCUCUUUAAGAAGUCAGUCAGUGGUGAGUUACAAAGGCUCAAUAAGACUCUUGAGAGGUUGACUGAAACUAUGGAGAGUUUGAAUGUCUCACAAGCUUCUACUUCUACAAGAAUACCUCAAAAAACUCCUAAUUGCAAUAAUGACUGUGAUGAUUCGGAUGUGUUGGUUAAUAAUGUGUUGCUUGCUGCACAUUGUGAGAUGCUUGUUGCUAGGCGUGCUCUGAAUAUGCAGGUUAAGGAAGAAAGCCUAGAACAACGGGAAAACAUAUUUCACACUAGGUGUUUGGUUAAUGGAAAAUUGUGUACUCUCAUUAUUGAUGGAGGUAGUUGCACAAAUGUGGCUAGUGUGUAUAUGGUGGAAAAAUUGGGCUUGGGUUCUAUUAAACACCCUAAGGCAUAUAGAUUGCAAUGGUUGAAUGAUUGUGGAGAGGUUAGGGUUACACGCCAGGUUGUUAUACCAUUUUCUAUUGGUAGGUACAAGGAUGAGAUCUUAUGUGAUGUGGUACCUAUGCAGGCAAGCCAUAUGUUGUUGGGUAAACCGUGGCAACAUGAUAGAAAGGUGCAACAUGAUGGGUUCAAUAACAAGUACUCCUUCACUCAUGAAGGACAGAAGGUUAUACUCGCUCCUUUAUCACCUCAAGAGGCAUAUGUUGAUCAAAUAAAGAUGCUGGAGAGGGAGAGGGAGGCUUCGGCCUUGGCCACAAAGGGGAGUGAGAGCUUGAAUUCUGCGGAAACGAUGAGAGAAAAGAGUGAGUUUGAGGGUAAAGAGGCUGUAAAAGAAUUAAGACUAGUUCAAGGAGGGAAGGUGGAGAAAGAAAAGGAGAAAGAAGAGGCUAAAGUUCCAAUCUCAACUUCCAUAGAGAUUGAAAUUAAAGAGGAAGUUGUAAUGCAUGAAUCUAAUGUAGUUGCUGUUGGGAAUUCCAUCAAUGAACUUAUAGAAGAGGUUGUGAAUGAUGAGGGACAUGGGGAGCAUGUGAUUGAUGAGGUGGAGGAGGUGAAUGAGACUGUUUUGAAAGUUGUAGAGGAGAAUGGGUCACAUCCACAGGAUCUUUUUAUGACUAAUAUUUUUAUGCCUAGUUCAUUUGUUCUUGAUGUGCAGAUUGUUGAUGAAAGCAUUCAUGACGAAAGUUUUAUCCUAUUUUCACCUAUUCAAAAGGAGGUCUUUGAAGAUACAUGGGUUCCUAAAGCUUCCCUUUUUGACAUAAAUAUCAGCAAGAUUCGAGGACGAAUAUUUUCUAAAGAAGGAGAGAAUGAUACGGAUCCAAAAGGGCAAAUUUCUAACAAUGGUGUGAAGCAAACUUAUGUCAUUCAAAUGGAUCUAAAAGGAGUUCAAAAUCAUAUUUAUAUGAUCCAUAUAUAUUUGGAGCGUGCUUCAACUCAUAUCGGACAGAUUUGGUGCAACACUUACAAUCAUAGUCUUAGGGAGCCUAAUCAAACCUAUAGGCUAAAACUACACAAAGGGAAGCCUAAAGUGAAGAUCAAGUAAGGCUUUUGUGAAGAUUCAGUUUUGUUAUGAUGGAAGGUUUUAGAUGAGAAUCUGACAAAUGCCACAAUGAAUAGUUGAUAAGUAGGCCAAGAUUCCUGGUGCAAUUGAUGAAAGCAAAUCCUCACUCUCACUCAAAGCAAUAUAUGCCAAAGGCAUGAAAAUAAUUCUGAAAAUUUGAUUAAAAGUUGCCUCUUACAAUUGUUUCUUAUCCUUAUAUAGUAAGGAGAAAAUCAAAUAAAACCCUAAGACACUCUUCUUGGGUCUGACUUAAACACCUAAGGUCCAAGCCUAAUCACACACUAAAAUAACACAUAAGUAUUAAAACAUAAGCUCAAAACAUGGCCCAACACUCUAAAACUUAAAAGAUAAAGUAUGGCCAGAAUACAAGCCCAAACAAAGCUAAAAUAAAACAAGUGUUAAAUAAUAAAAAAUAUAGCAAGCCCAUCAUAGCAAAACUGGAUCUUCACAAAAGCCUUACUUGAUCUUCAUUUUAGGCUUCCCUUUGUGUAUUUUAGCCCAUAGGUUUGAUUAGGCUCCCUAAGACUAUGAUUGCGAGUGUUGCACCAAAUCUGUCCCAUAUGAGUUGAAGCACGCCCCAAAUAUAUAUGGAUCAUAUGAAUAUGAUUUUGAACUCCUUUAGAUCCAUUUGAAUGACAUAAGUUUGCUCCACACCAUUGUUAGAAAUUUGCCCUAUUGGAUCCGUAUCAGACUUACUCUUAGAAAGAUUUUUUUCAGCAACUAAAGUAUCAUCUAUAAGAAAAGAAACAAGUGAAAUCAAACAAAGAAAAACUAAAACUCUACAUAAAUAUUGGGAACAUUUUAAUAAAUUAAUUGCAAGUUGUCCAAAAUAUGGAAUCACUCCAAAAUAACUCAACUUUCACUUCUAUGAAGGACUUGUGCCAUUAGAAAGGAGAAUAAUAAAUGCUGCUAGUGGAGGAGCCAUUGCAAAAAUAAAACCUGAAGAAAGUAAAACUUUAAUCUCAAAAUUGGCUGUCAACUCUAGACAAUAUUGCCGAGAUGAGGACAAUCCUAGGAAUGCGAAUGAGGUAAGUAUUGCAUCUUUAGAUUCUAAAAUUUCACAACUUACCAUUGCAAUUCAACAAUUGGCUGCAGGAAAUAAUAUAUGAAUUUGUGGUAUUUUGACACGGAACCCUAUGGCACAAGUCUCAAACCCACACGCACAAGUAGAUAUGGAAUCCAAAGAUUUGAUAAACCCACCUCCUAUGGCACCCCACACUUAGAGAAGCUGAAACACCAAUUAUCGAAGGAUUUAGAUGAGAAUNNNNNNNNNNNNNNNNNNNNNNNNNNNNNNNNNNNNNNNNNNNNNNNNNNNNNNNNNNNNNNNNNNNNNNNNNNNNNNNNNNNNNNNNNNNNNNNNNNNNNNNNNNNNNNNNNNNNNNNNNNNNNNNNNNNNNNNNNNNNNNNNNNNNNNNNNNNNNNNNNNNNNNNNNNNNNNNNNNNNNNNNNNNNNNNNNNNNNNNNNNNNNNNNNNNNNNNNNNNNNNNNNNNNNNNNNNNNNNNNNNNNNNNNNNNNNNNNNNNNNNNNNNNNNNNNNNNNNNNNNNNNNNNNNNNNNNNNNNNNNNNNNNNNNNNNNNNNNNNNNNNNNNNNNNNNNNNNNNNNNNNNNNNNNNNNNNNNNNNNNNNNNNNNNNNNNNNNNNNNNNNNNNNNNNNNNNNNNNNNNNNNNNNNNNNNNNNNNNNNNNNNNNNNNNNNNNNNNNNNNNNNNNNNNNNNNNNNNNNNNNNNNNNNNNNNNNNNNNNNNNNNNNNNNNNNNNNNNNNNNNNNNNNNNNNNNNNNNNNNNNNNNNNNNNNNNNNNNNNNNNNNNNNNNNNNNNNNNNNNNNNNNNNNNNNNNNNNNNNNNNNNNNNNNNNNGUAAAUGCCAUUGGAGAAUUUAAUGGACAAUAGAGGAAGUAUGACUCGUUUUCAAGCACCUAGAAUCCAGGGUAGAGAGAUCAUCCAAACCUUAGCUAUGGAAAUAGAUAGCAAAACUACCAGCCAAGAGCAAACUGUCAAGCUGCAAAAUCAGGUAUGUCUUUAGAAGACAUUGUUCAAUCCCUUGCUAAUAGCACUCUUGCUUUUCAACAGAAAAUGAAAUCGAGCAUACGGAAUUUGGAGAAUCAAAUGAGCCAACUUGCUACAUCAGUGAGCAAGCUGGAAUCUUAAAGGAAACUGUCCUCCCAAAAAGUGCCAAAUCCAAAACAGAAUACAAGCACGAUUACGUUGCGAAGCGGGAAGGAGUUGGAAUCUGCCAACCCGAAAAGGGUUGUCCAAGGUAGUACAACAAACCUGAUGCCAGAAAUAGAAAUAAAAAUUCUAGCAGAGAAUCAGCCUAAAAAAUCAGAGGUAGAACAACUCCCAAUUCAGGUAAUAUGUCCUCCUUUUCCUGAAAGACUUGCUCAUUUAAAAAGGGAAGAGGAAGAAAAAGAGAUCUUGGAGAUUUUUUGCAAAAUCCAGGUGAACAUAGCCCUUCUUGAAAUAAUAAAAUAAAUACCCAGGUAUGCAAAAUUUCUAAAAGACUUUUGCACUAAUAAAAGAAAAUUGUAUAGACAUGAAAAGAUUAAAGUGGGGAGAAUGUGUCAGCUGUACUUUAAAGAAAGUUUCAUAAAAAUGUAAAGAUAAAGGCAUGUUUGCAAUAUCAUAUAAAGUUGAAAACUUUGAAGUCAAGAAGGCAAUGUGUGAUUUAGGAGCUUUCAUAAAUUUUAUGCCUCUAUCUAUUUAUUUCUCUUUGGAUGCAGGUCUUUCGAAACAAAUAGGAAUCACACUCCAACUCGCCGAUAGAUCAAUAGUUUAUCCUAAAGGCGUGUUGGAGGAUGUUUUGGUCCAAGUGGGGAAAUUGAUUUUCCCACCUGACUUCUUUGUCUUGGACAUGGAAGAUAAUACUUCAUCCAACUUUACAGAUUUAUUACUAGGUGACGCGGAACCCUAUGGCACAAGCCUCAAACCCACACGCAGAAGUAGAUAUGGAAUGCAAAGGUUUGAUAAACCCAAGUCCUAUGGCACCCCAGACUUAGAGAAGCUGAAACACCAAUGAUCAAAGGAUUUAGAUGCGAAUCUGACAAACGCCACAACGAAUAGUUGAUAAGUAAGCCAAGAUUCCUGGUACAAUUGAUGAAAGCAAAUCCUCACUCAAAGCAAUACACGCCAAAUGCAUGAGAAGAAUUCUGAAAUUUUGAUUAAAAGCUGCCUCUUACAAUUGUUUUUUAUCCUUAUAUAGUAAGGAGAAAAACAAAUAAAACCCUAAGCCACUCUUCUUGGACCUGAAUUAAACACAUAAGGCCCAAGCCCAAUCACACACUAAAAUAACACAUAAGUAUUAAAACAUAAGCCCAAAACAUGGCCCAACACUCUAAAACUUAAAAGAUAAAGUAUGGCCAGAAUACAAGCCCAAACAAAGCAAAAAUAAAACAAGUGUUAAAUAAUAAAAAUAUAGUAAGCCCAUCAUAACAAAGCUGAAUCUUCACAAAAGCCUUACUUGAUCUUCACUUUAGGCUUCCCUUUGUGUAGUUUUAGCCCAUAGGUUUGAUUAGGCUCCCUAAGACUAUGAUUGUAAGUGUUGCACCAAAUCUGUCCCAUAUGAGUUGAAGCACGCCCCAAAUAUAUAUGGAUCAUAUGAAUAUGAUUUUGAACUCCUUUUAGAUCCAUUUGAAUGACAUAAGUUUGCUCCACAUCAUUGUUAGAAAUUAGCCCUAUUGAAUCCGUAUCAUUCUCUCCUUCUUUAGAAAAGAUUCGUCCUCGAAUCUUGCUAAUAUUUAUGUCAAAAAGGGAAGCUUUAGGAACCCAUGUGUCUUCAAAGACCUCCUUUUGAAUAGGUGGAAAUAGGAUAAAACUUUCGUCAUGAAUGUUUUCAUCAACAACCUGCAUAUCAAGAGCAAAUGCACUAGGCAUAAAAAUAUUAGUCAUAGAAAGAUCUCGUGGAUGUGACCCAUUCUCCUCUACAACUUCCAAAACAGUCUCAUUCACCUCCUCCACCUCAUCAAUCACGUGCUCCCCAUGUCCCUCAUCAUUCACAACCUCUUCUAUAAGUUCAUUGAUGGAAUUCUCAACAACAACUACAUUAGAUUCAUGCAUUACAACUUCCUCUUCAAUUUCAAUCUCUAUGGAAGUUGAGAUUGGAACUUUAGCCUCUUCUUUCUCCUUUUCUUUCUCCACCUUCCCUCCUUGAACUAGUCUUGAUUCUUUCCCAGCCUCUUUACCCUCAAACUCACUCUUUUCUAUCAUCUUUUCCGCAGAAUUCAAGCUCUCACUCCCCUUUGUGGCCAAGGCCGAAGCCUCCUUCUCCCUCUCCAGCAUCUUUAUUUGAUCAACAUAUACCUCUUGAGGUGAUAAAGGAGCGAGUAUAACCUUCUGUCCUGUAUAAGUGAAGGAGUACUUGUUAUUGAACCCAUCAUGUUGCACCUUUCUAUCAUGUUGCUACGGUCUACCCAACAACAUAUGGCUUGCCUGCAUAGGUACGACAUCACACAAGAUCUCAUCCUUGUACCUACCAAUAGAAAAUGGUAUAACCACCUGGCGUGUAACCCUAACCUCUCCACAAUCAUUCAACCAUUGCAAUCUAUAUGGCUUAGGGUGUUUAAUAGAAGCCAAGCCCAAUUUUUCCACUAUAUACACACUAGCCACAUUUGUGCAACUACCUCCAUCAAUAAUGAGAGUACACACUUUUCCAUUAAUCAAACACCUAGUGUGAAAUAUGUUUUCCCAUUGUUCUAGGCUUUCUUCCUUAACCUGCAUAUUCAGAGCACGCCUAGCAACAAGCAUCUCACAAUGUGCAGCAAGCAACGCAUUAUUAACCAACACAUCCGAAUCAUCACUGUCAUUAUUGAUAUUAGGAGUUUUUUGAGGUAUUCUUGUAGAAGUGGAAGCUUGUGAGACAUUCAAACUCUCCAUAGUUUCAGUCAACCUCUCAAGAGUCUUAUUGAGCCUUUGUAACUCACCACUGACUGACUUCUUAAAGAGCUUAUAAUCGUUACCCAUAUUCGAUUCACUUCCAUCAGUACGAUCCACCACAUUCUUGUCUUUACUCAUCCUACCUUAAAUCAACAUAGAACAAAAAGAACUAGCAGAUAUUGUGUUAAAAAAAGUACUCAAGUGUUUGCACUCUUACCAUUCUUUUGCUGAUUCUUCAAUUGCACUUCAGAAACUAAUGUCAACCAACUAACCACAAGGUGCAUUUAAUGAAACAAAGAAGAAAUCCUAAAGAAAGAAGGAAGCGCGCAAAAACUAGAAAGAAGACACUGACAAUUUGGGAAGUAACACAAGAAUUAGGCUUUGUGCUACUUGAAAAAUAUUACCUAGAGUAUAGACCCAAGCAAACAAUACUCCAGCAAUAUCAAGGAAUUAAAAGCAAGUUUAAACUAAAAAAAGAAACUUAGAAAUCAAAUAAAAACGAACUUGGAAAAAAAAUUUGCAUUUAAUUCACUUCAACGCAAAUUAAAUAUGGAUCUACUUAAAUCUACCCAAAAAGGAAAGUAUCAAAACCCCACAAAUAGAAUCAGAAAGAAAAAUCUAAAUUUCACUCAGAUCAGAAACAUGGACGAAAAUUCUGAUUUUAAAAGAAGGAUUUGACAUCAAAUCGAUUUAAAUGCAGUUGCCUUAAAUGUGCACCUUAAGGAAUAGGCAGAUUUCUUUUGUCUCCUAAUUUGGAUUCAACCCAAUUCAAAAUUCAAAAUUGAUUCCCAUAAAUUACAGCAAUCAAUUGAGAUAGGUAAGGAAAUAUAGAUGAAAAAGAAAGCAUAUCACAAUUUCGGCCAGAUCAAGAUAAAUAUGGCAAAGGUGAUUUUUUUUUUCGUUUUUCUUUUUUUUUUUGGAUUUUGAAUUUUUCUUUCAAAAGGGAUUAUAUGAUAAUUUAUCAAGAAGGUGCAGCCAUGAAUACAAAAUCUUUCACCGAAAUCAAUAACGAAGAAAAGAAAACUAAAAAAAAACUCUAGAUCCUGAGAUAAAUAAGAAUUUACCUCACUUUGGCUCUGAUACCAACUGACGAGGAACCCUAUGGCACAAGCCUCAAACCCACACGUAGAAGUAGAUAUGGAAUCCAAAGCUUUGAUAAACCCAAGUCCUAUGGCACCCCAAACUUAGAGAAGCUGAAACACCAAUGAUCGAAAGAUUUAGAUGCGAAUCUGACAAACGCCACAACGAAUAGUUGAUAAGUAAGCCAAGAUUCCUGGUGCAAUUGAUGAAAGCAAAUCCUCACUCUCACUCAAAGCAAUACACGCCAAAGGCAUGAGAAGAAUUCUGAAAUUUUGAUUAAAAGCUGCCUCUUACAAUUGUUUCUUAUCCUUAUAUAGUAAGGAGAAAAACAAAUAAAACCCUAAGACACUCUUCUUGGACCUGACUUAAAUACAUACGGCCCAAGCCCAAUCACACACUAAAAUAACACAUAAGUAUUAAAACAUAAGCCCAAAACAUGGCCCAACACUCUAAAACUUAAAAGAUAAAGUAUGGCCAAAAUACAAGCCCAAACAAAGCUAAAAUAAAAUAAGUGUUAAAUAAUAAAAAUAUAGCAAGCCCAUCAUAAUAAAGCUGAAUCUUCCCAAAAGUCUUACUUGAUCUUCACUUUAAGCUUCCCUUUGUGUAGUUUUAGCCCAUAGGUUUGAUUAGGCUCCCUAAGCCUAUGAUUGCAAGUGUUGCACCAAAUCUGUCCCAUAUGAGUUGAAGCACGCCCCAAAUAUAUAUGGAUCAUAUGAAUAUGAUUUUGAACUCCUUUUAGAUCCAUUUGAAUGACAUAAUUUUGCUCCACAUCAUUGUUAGAAAUUUGCUCUAUUGAAUCCGUAUCAUUCUCUCAUUCUUUAGAAAAGAUUUAUCCUCGAAUCUUGCUGAUAUUUAUGUCAAAAAGGGAAGCUUUAGGAACCCAUGUAUCUUCAAAGACCUCCUUUUGAAUAGGUGGAAAUAGGAUAAAACUUUCGUCAUGAAUGUUUUCAUCAACAACCCGCAUAUCAAGAGCAAAUGCACUAGGCAUAAAAAUAUUAGUCAUAGAAAGAUCUCGUGGAUGUGACCCAUUCUCCUCUACAACUUUCAAAACAGUCUCAUUCACCUCCUCCACCUCAUCAAUCACGUGUUCCUCAUCUUUCACAACCUCUUCUAUAAGUUCAUUGAUGGAAUUCUCAACAACAACUAUAUUAGAUUCAUGCAUUACAACUUUCUCUUCAAUUUCAAUCUCUAUAGAAGUUGAAAUUGGAACUUUAGCCUCUUCUUUCUCCUUUUCUUUCUCCACCUUCCCUCCUUGAACUAGUCUUGAUUCCUUUCCAGCCUCUUUACCCUCAAACUCACUCUUUUCUCUCAUCUUUUCCGCAGAAUUCAAGCUCUCACUCCCCUUUGUGGCCAAGGCCGAAGCCUCCCUCUCCCUCUCCAGCAUCUUUAUUUGAUCAACAUAUACCUCUUGAGGUGAUAAAGGAGCGAGUAUAACCUUCUGUCCUUCAUGAGUGAAGGAGUACUUGUUAUUGAAUCCAUCAUGUUGCACCUUUCUAUCAUGUUGCCACGAUCUACCCAACAACAUAUGGCUUGCCUGCAUAGGUACGACAUCACACAAGAUCUCAUCCAUGUACCUACCAAUAGAAAAUAGUAUAACCACCUGGCGUGUAACCCUAAUGUCUCCACAAUCAUUGAACAAGGAAACUCAUACAUAGUUUGAAGAAGCACAAAAUGGCUUUGAAACAUUAAAGAAGGCUUUAACUUCUACUUUAGUCCCUUCACUGCCAUAUUUCACCAAAGUAUUUGUUAUGGAAAGUAAUGGACAUCCCACAGCUUUUAUUAGCAAAGUCGUAUCUCCCAAAAAUGCAAGCUUAUCUGUUUAUGAAAGGGAACUGCUAUUUGUUUUAUUUGCUCUCAAACAGUGGGAACACUACCUGUAGUAGAGGCAUUUCGUUAUCAAAAUUGAUUAUAAGAGUUUGAAAUACUUAUUGGAAUAGAAGAUCUAUACUCAUACUCAACACACGGCUCACCAAACUUCAACAUCUUGGUUAUGAAAUCCAGUGUAAAAAGAGAUAAGAGAAUCAAGCUGCAGAUGCCUUGUCCAAACUUUCAUGCUUAUUAGUUGCAAAUAUUACUGCACACCUAGUGCUAGAAGAGCUUUUUCUUGCAAUUAAACAACUUUAGAGUUUUGAUCUUAAAUUGGUGUAAUUAUUUGUAGAACUACAAAGUGAUGUUGCCUCUCACCCUAUUAUGCAUGGAUUAAUUGCCAAUUGAGGAGGAAAAGAAAAUUGGUUAUUGAUGAUUCUAAUGAGUUAAAAUCUAAGCUUUUAGAUUAUUAUUACAAUUUAGCAUCGGGAGGUCAUUUUGGAGUAAGUACCACAAUUAGAAGUGAUGAGUUGUAAAACUUACAAUUUUUUCAUCAUUUAAUUCCUUGAAUUUUGACGCAGAACCCUAUGGCACAAGCCUCAAACCCACACGCAUAAGUAGAUAUGGAAUCCAAAGAUUUGAUCAAUUAUGGAAUAAUUGAUAAAUGCACAAGUAGUGGGUAGUUAUCCAGUAGUGGAUAGUUAACCAGUAGUGGGUAGUUGAUACGGAUCCAAUAGGGCAAAUUUCUAACAAUGGUGUGCAGCAAACUUAUGUCAUUCAAAUGGAUCUAAAAGGAGUUCAAAAUCAUAUUCAUAGGAUCCAUAUAUAUUUGGGGCGUGCUUCAACUCAUAUGGGACAGAUUUGGUGCAACACUUGCAAUCAUAGGCUUAGGGAGCCUAAUCAAACCUAUGGGCUAAAACUAUACAAAGGGCAGCCUAAAGUGAAGAUCAAGUAAGGUUUUUGUGAAGAUUCAGCUUUGUUAUGAUGGGCUUGCUAUAUUUUAUUUUGUUUUAUUUUAGCUUUGUUUGGGCUUGUAUUCUGGCCAUACUUUAUCUUUUAAGUUUUAGAGUGUUGGGCCAUGUUUUGGGCUUAUGUUUUAAUACUUAUGUGUUAUUUUAGUGUGUGAUUGGACUUUGGCCUUAUGUGUUUAAGUCAGGUCCAAGAAGAGUGUCUUAGGGUUUUAUUUGUUUUUCUCUUUACUAUAUAAGGAUAAGAAACAAUUGUAAGAGGCAGCUUUAAUCAAAAUUUCAGAAUUCUUCUCAUGCCUUUGGCGUGUAUUGCUUUGAGUGAGAGUGAGGAUUUGCUUUCAUCAAUUGCACCAGGAAUCUUGGCUUACUUAUCAACUAUUUGUUGUGGCGUUUGUCAGAUUCUCAUCUAAAUCCUUCGAUUAUUGGUGUUUCAGCUUCUCUAAGUGUGGGGUGCCAUAGGAGGUGGGUUUAUCAAAUCUUUGGAUUCCAUAUCUUCUUGUGCGUGUGGGUUUGAGGCUUGUGCCGUAGGGUUCCGCGUCAGUAGUUAUGCAGUAGUGGAUAGUGGUAUAGAUCAUGGGUCCAUGCAUAGUAGUGGGAAGUGGCAAAGAUCAUGGGUCUUUAUUUAGGUUAUAUAAAGCAUCUCUUUUUCCAUAUUAUAGACAGAUUAUCAAUUAUUCAAUACAAUUGCUUUAUGCGAUUCUUCUUUGAGAGCUUAAGAGAGAUCUUGGUUCUUGACAUUGCAUCACAAAUAAGGUUUGAUACUAACUUGUAUGUUUCUUAUUCUUGCUGCUUUUAAAAUCAAUCGGUUAUAAGUGUUCUUAAUUGCAUGUUAAUUAAGGGUGCUUUAGAUUGGGGAGUUGUUUUUUGAAUUAAGUUCUUUUUACUAGGGUAUGUGUCGUUUCAGCAAUGUCAAGGAAGCAAAAGCAAGCUUAAACCAAAAAAAGAAACUUAGAAUUCAAAUAAAAAAAAUGAACCUGAAUAAAAGUUUGAAUUUAAUUCACUUCAAAGCAAAUUAAAUAUAGAUUUAUAUAAAUUUACCCAAAAAGGAAAGUAUCAAACCCUACAAAUAGAAUCAUAAAAGAAAAAUGUAAAUUUCACUCAGAUCAGAAACAUGGACGAAAAUUCUGGUUUUAAAAGAAGGAUUUGAUAUCAAAUCGAUUUAGAUGCAGUUGCCUUAAAUGUGCACCUUAAGGAAUAGGCAGAUUUCUUUUGUCUCCUAAUCUGGAUUCAACCCAAUUCAAAACUCAAACUUGAUUCCCAUAAACUACAGCAAUCAAUUGAGAUAGGUAAGGAAAUAUAGAUGAAAAAGAAAGCAUAUCACAAUUUCGGCCAGAUCAAGAUAAAUAUGGCAAAGGCGAUUUUGUUUUUCUUCAUUUUUUUUUUUUUUGGAUUUCGAAUUUUUCUUCCAAAAGAGAUUAUGAUACGGAUCCAAUAGGGUAAAUUUCUAACAAUGGUGUGGAGUAAACUUAUGUCAUUCAAAUGGAUCUAAAAGGAGUUCAAAAUCAUAUUCAUAUGAUCCAUAUAUAUUUGGAGCGUGCUUUAACUCAUAUGGGACAGAUUUGGUGUAACACUUGCAAUCAUAGGCUUAGGGAGCCUAAUCAAACCUAUGGGCUAAAACUACACAAAGGGAAGCCUAAAGUGAAGAUCAAGUAAGGUUUUUAUGAAGAUUCAAGUUUGUUAUGAUGGGCUUGCUAUAUUUUUAUUAUUUAACACUUGUUUUAUUUUAGCUUUGUUUGGGCUUGUAUUCUGGCCAUACUUUAUCUUUUAAGUUUUAGAGUGUCGGGCCAUGUUUUGGGCUUAUGUUUUAAUACUUAUGUGUUAUUUUAGUGUGUGAUUGGGCUUGGGCCUUAUGUGAUACGAACCAGUAAACCCAAUCACAUGAGAAUCAAGGAAGCAAGGAUCCAUUGGUGCUCCCUAGUGGACCAGUGACAAGAAGCAAAGCUAAGAAGCUUGAAGCAGCUAUGAACUUACACAUUCAAGAACAAGUAACACAAGAAUUGAUUGAGCUUGCCUUUGACAAAUGUCUCGUGAAGCUUGAAGACACACCUAAGCUACUCACCUUGCUUAAGGUGUGUAAUGGAGAUAGCACUCUCUAAUUUAUUCAGCAUUGAUAUGAUGGGCUUGCUAUAUUUUUAUGAUUUAACACUUGUUUUAUUUUAGUUUUGUUUGGGCUUGUAUUCUGGCCAUAUUUUAUCUUUUAAGUUUUAGAGUGUUGGGCCAUGUUUUGGGCUUAUGUUUUAAUACUUAUGCGUUAUUUUAGUGUGUGAUUAGGCUUGGGCCUUAAGUGUUUAAGUCAGACCCAAGAAGAGUGUUUAGGGUUUUAUUUCUUUUUCUCCUUACUAUAUAAGGAUAAGAAACAAUUGUAAGAGGCGGUUUUUAAUCAACAUUUCAGAAUUCUUCUCAUGCCUUUGGCGUGUAUUACUUUGAGUGAGAGUGAGGAUUUGCUUUCAUCAAUUGCACUAGGAAUCUUGGCUUACUUAUCAACUAUUCGUUGUGGCGUUUGUCAGAUUCUCAUCUAAAUCCUUCGAUCAUUGGUGUUUCAGCUUCUCUAAGUGUGGGGUGCCAUAGGAGGUGGGUUUAUCAAAUCUUUGGAUUCCAUAUCUACUUGUGCGUGUGGGUUUGAGGCUUGUGCCAUAGGGUUCCACGUCAGUUGGUAUCAGAGCCAAAGUGAGGUAAAUUCUUAUUUAUCUCAGGAUCUAGAGUUUUUUUUUUCUGAGUUUUCCUUUUCUUCGUUAUUGAUUUCGGUGAAAGCUUUUGUGUCCAUGGCUGCACCUUCUUGAUCAUUAAUCAACAAAAAAAAAAUUUAGAAAAAAAUCGCCUUUGCCAUAUUUAUCUUGAUCUGGCCGAAAUUGUGUUAUGCUUCCUUUUCAUCCAUAUUUCCUUACCUAUCUCAAUUGAUUGCUGUAGUUUAUGGAAAUCAAUUUUGAAUUUUGAAUUGGGUUGAAUCCAGAUUAGAAGACAAAAGAAAUCUGCCUAUUUAAGGUGCACAUUUAAGGCAACUGCAUCUAAAUCGAUUUGGUGUCAAACCCAUCUUUUAAUGCCCAUUUUCGUCCAUUAUGCUGCACUGAGUGAGAUUUUUUUUUUUUGUCUAUUUGUGGGGUUUUGAUACUUGCCUUUUUUGGGUAGAUUUAAAUAGAUCCGUAUUUAUGCUGCAUUGAGUGAGAUUUAAUUUGUGUGUACUUUCCAAAUUGUCAGUGUCUUCUUUCUAGUUUUUGCGCGCUUCCUUCUUUCUUUAGGUUUCUUCUUUGUUUCAUUAAAUGCACCUUGUGGUUGGUUGGUUGACCUUAGUUUCUGAAGUGCAAUUGAAGAAUCAGCAAAAGAGUGGUAAGUGUGCAGACACUUGAGUGCUUUCCUUUCUAACAUAAUAGUACUGGUGAAAGUGAAUCGGACAUGGGUAACGAUUAUGAGAUCUUUAAGAAAUCAGUCAGUGGUGAGUUACAAAGGCUCAGUAGGGCUCUUGAGAGAAUGACCGUAAGUAUGGAGAGUUUGAAAGUCUCACAGGCUUCCACUUCUACAAGAAUGGCCCAUCGAAUUCUUAACCCCGAUAGACCACAAGUCCGAGAACUUCAAGUUCGAGGUGAAGCUGAUGAUACAGAAGAUAUUGUCGGACAAGGAAGGGGGAGAGGAGAAGUUCAUGGAGGUAAUAGAACUGGCGUAGGGUGGAAUAGAGGUGGAGAUGCUAGACUUGGCAGAAAUGAUGAUGAACCGAGACAUACCAAACCAACACAAUUGAUGGUGACUUGAGCUCUAUAAAGAUGAAAGUUCCUGAAUUUAAAGGGAAUAACAAUGCUGAAGAAUACAUUGAAUGGGAGAGAAAAACUGAGCAAAUAUUUGAGUGUCAUAACUAUACCGAGGAGAAGAAGUCUCAUAUCGCCGCCGUUGAGUUCACGGGUUAUGCCUCUUUCUGGUGGGAUCAAUUGAAAUCCACUAGGAGGAAUAAGGGCUUAAGGGCAGUUCCACCAUGGGACUAUUUGAAAGAGUUGAUGCGCCAAAGAUUUAUUCCUUCGCACUAUUAUAGGGAUUUGUACAAUAGGUUGGCAAGUCUCCUGCAAGGAGGAAAGAGUGUGGAAGAAUACCACAAGGAGAUGGAGAUGAUGAUGGCUAGGUCUCAUAUUGAGGAGGAUGAUCAAAUGUUGAUGUCCAGAUUUCUAGGUGGUCUUAACCACUACAUUGCCGAAGAACUUGACAUGUACCAAUACAAUACCAUGGAGGAUAUGGUAGAUAAAGCAAUGAAAAUAGAAAGGCGACACAAGGGCAGAAAUAAUCUUAAACUCACAUACAAGUCCGCAAAUAGUGGUGGUGGAUUUUCAAGCUAUAGAAGUGGAGAAAAGAAAGAUUAUAAAAGCCCAAUCCAAGGGGGCAAAGAUUCGAUCCCCACUAACAAAGGACCUUCUCAAGGGAAUAACAAGGAACAGUCAGGUACUUCUAACUCUUCUAACCCUAAUAGAGAGAUAAAAUGUUUUAAAUGUUUGGGAAAAGGACAUAUUGUAUCUCAAUGUCCUAAUAAAAGAGUUAUGAUAGCAACUGCUGAUGGGGGUGUAGUGUCUGAUUCUAAUCAUAGUGAUGAUGAGAUAUAUGCUAAUAUGACUGAAUUGAUUGAUGCUCAUAAUGACUGUGAUGAUUCGGAUGUGUUUGUUGAUAAUGUGUUGCUUGCUGAACGUGGUGAGAUGCUUGUUGCUAGGCGUGCUUUGAAUAUCCAGGUUAAGGAAGAAAGCCUAGAACAACGGGAAAACAUAUUUCACACUAGGUGUUUGGUUAAUGGAAAAGUGUGUACUCUCAUUAUUGAUGGGGGUAGUUGCACAAAUGUGGCUAGUGUGUAUAUGGUGGAGAAAUUGGGUUUGGCUUUUAUUAAACACCCUAAGCCAUACAGAUUGCAAUGGUUGAAUGAUUGUGGUGAGGUUAGGGUUACACGCCAAGUGCUUAUACCAUUUUCUAUUGGUAGGUACAAGGAUGAGAUCUUAUGUGAUGUGGUACCUAUGCAGGCAAGCCAUAUGUUGUUGGGUAGGCCGUGGCAAUAUGAUAGAAAGGUGCAAUAUGAUGGGUUCAAUAACAAGUACUCCUUUACUUAUGAAGGAUAGAAGGUUAUACUCGCUCCUUUAUCACCUCAAGAGGUAUAUGCUGAUCAAAUAAAGAUGCUGGAGAGGGAGAGGGAGGCUUCGGCCUUGGCUACAAAGGGGAGUGAAAGCUUGAGUUCUGCGGUAAAAAUGAGAGAAAAGUGUGAGUUUGAGAGUAAAGAGGCUGGAAAAGAAUCAAGACCAAUAAAUGACCCAUUGGUGAGAGAAAAGAUGCAAGAGGGGAAGGCAAAACAAACAUUUUAUAUGAGAGCGAGAGAAGCUAAGAGUGCUAUAUCUUUAGGGCAGCCCAUGUUGCUUAUAAGAUAUAAGGAGAUUUUAUUUGCUGACACUGAUAUUAACCUUUCUUCUUUGCCUUCUAGUUUUAAGUCUAUGAUGCAGGAAUUCACUGAUGUCUUUCCAGAUGAGCUACCUAGUGGAUUGCCACCGUUGAGGGGGAUUAAGCAUCAGAUAGAUUUCAUACCUGGUUCUAGCAUUCCAAAUAGACCAGCUUACCGAAGCAAUCCAAUGGAAACAAAGGAAAUGCAAAGGUAAAUUGACGAGCUUAUGGAGAAGGGAUUGGUGAGAGAAAGUUUAAGUCCAUGUGUUGUUCCUGUGCUGCUUGUUCCAAAGAAGGAUGGCACUUGGCGAAUGUGUGUUGAUUGUAGAGCAGUUAACAAGAUCACAGUGAAGUAUAGGCAUCCUAUACCUCGGCUAGAUGACAUGUUGGAUGAGCUUCACAGUGCCAGGUACUUUACAAAAAUUGAUCUUAUGAGUGGAUAUCAUCAGAUUAGGAUGAAACCUGGUGAUGAAUGGAAAACUACAUUUAAGACAAAGUAUGGUUUGUAUGAAUGGUUAGUUAUGCCUUUUGGUUUGUCAAAUGCACCUAGUACGUUUAUGAGGCUAAUGAAUCAUGUGUUGCGUGCAUACUUAAGAAAAUUUGUAGUUGUUUACUUUGAUGAUAUCUUGAUCUAUAGCAGGUCUCUCGAUGAACAUAUUGAGCAUGUUAGGUUGGUUCUGCAGGUUUUGAGGCAAGAGAGCUUGUAUGCUAAACUUAAGAAGUGCACAUUUUGUAUAGAUAGACUUGUUUUCCUUGGUUUUGUUGUGAGUGCACAGGGAAUUGAGGUAGAUGAAGAGAAGCUGAAAGCUAUAAAGGAGUGGCCUAUUCCUAAAUCUAUUUCAGAUGUGAGGAGCUUUCAUGGCCUUGCAAGCUUUUACAGGAGGUUUGUUUGCGAUUUCUCUACGAUUGCAGCACCACUCACAGGAAUUAUUAAGAAGGAAGUUGGGUUCAAAUGGGGAGAGGAGCAACAGAAAGCUUUUGACUGCUUAAAAGGGAAGUUAAUAUCCGCUCCUAUAUUAUCUUUACCUAACUUUGAUAAAACUUUUGAAAUUGAGUGUGAUGCUUCUGGCGUAGGUAUUGGGGCUGUAUUGAUGCAAGAGAAGAAACCAAUAGCCUACUUCAGCGAGAAGUUGAACGGAGCACAUCUCAAUUAUUCAACCUAUGAAAAGGAGUUGUAUGCCUUGGUGAGAGCACUGGACGUGUGGCAACACUAUCUCCUGCCCAAGGAGUUUGUGAUACAUACGGAUCAUGAGUCCUUAAAACACUUGAAGGGACAAGGCAAGUUGAAUAAGAGGCAUGGUAAGUGGGUUGAGUUUAUUGAACAAUUUUCAUAUGUGAUUAAGUAUAAGCAUGGGAAAGACAAUGUGGUUGCAGAUGCUUUGUCUAGGAGGUAUGCUUUAAUUAAUGCUGUGAGUUCUAAAUUGCUCGGUUUUGCGCAUGUUAAAAACUUGUACAUUAAUGAUGUUGAUUUCGGCAAUGUGUUGGUGGCUUGUGAGCAUGGAGCUUUUAACUCUUUUUAUAGGCAUGAUGGUUACUUGUUUAAGGGUAAGAAAUUGUGUAUACCUAGAUGCUCUAUGCAUGAUUUGCUUGUGCUUGAAUCUCAUUGCGGUGGUUUGAUGGGGCAUUUUGGAGUACAUAAGACUUAUGACACCUUAUUUGAGCAUUUUUAUUUGCCUUCUAUGCGCAAAGAUGUUGAGAAAGUGUGCGCUUCUUGUAUUGCAUGUAAACAGGCAAAGUCUAAGUCUAUGCCUCAUGGUCUUUAUAUGCCUUUACCUGUUCCUAGUUCACCUUGGAUGGAUAUUUCUAUGGACUUUGUGCUUGGCUUACCUAGGACUAGGCGUGGUAGAGACAGCAUAUUUGUUGUUGUCGACAGGUUUAGCAAGAUGGCUCACUUCAUUCCUUGCCAUAAAACUGAUGAUGCCAUCAAUGUCGCUGACUUGUUCUUCCGGGAAGUGGUUCGACUUCAUGGAGUGCCAAGGACAAUUGUGUCAGAUAGAGAUGCAAAGUACCUUUCGCAUUUUUGGAAAGUAUUGUGGGGUAAGUUGGGUACUAAACUCUUAUAUUCUACUACUUGUCAUCCACAGACAGAUGGCCAAACAGAGGUGGUGAAUAGAACUCUUGGUACCUUACUCAGAGCUAUAGUGGGUAAGAAUUUGAACACUUGGAAAGAUUGCUUGCCUUUCAUUGAGUUUGCAUAUAACCGUAGCAUACAUUCUUCUACGGGGUUUUCUCCAUUUGAGCUUGUUUAUGGUUUUAACCCACUAACUGUACUUGAUCUUGUUCCUUUACCUUUACAUGAGCUUGCUAGUUUAGAUGGUGCUAAAAAGGCAAAAUUGGUAAAGUCCUUACAUGAGAAGGCUAGGUCUAACAUAGAAAAGGGGAACAAGGUGUAUGCUGACAGGGCAAAUAGGAGACGGAAGAAAGUGGUGUUUGUUCCUGGUGAUUGGGUUUAGGUGCCCUUCCGAAAGGAACGAUUUCCAAAUCAGAGGAAGAAUAAGCUGGAUGCUCGUGGUGAUGGUUCAUUUCAAGUCUUAGAGUGAAUCAAUGACAAUGCUUAUAAAAUAGACUUGCCAGGUGAGUAUGGGGUUAGUGCUACCUUUAAUGUGUCUGACUUGUCUCCUUUUGACUAUGUUCCAGAUUUGAGGACAAAUCUUUUCGAGGAAGGAGGGAAUGAUACGAACCAGCAAACCCAAUCACAUGAGAAUCAAGGAAGCAAGGAUCCAUUGGUGCUCCCUUGUGGACCAAUGACAAGGAGCAAAGCUAAGAAGCUUGAAGCAGCUAUGAACUUACACAUUCAAGAACAAGUAACACAAGAAUUGACUGAGCUUGCCUUUGGCAAAUGUCUCGUGAAGCUUGAAGACACACCUAAGCUACUCACCUUGCUUAAGGUGUGUAAUGGAGAUAUCACUGUCUAAUUUAUUCAGCAUUGAUAUGAAGGGCUUGCUAUAUUUUUAUGAUUUAACACUUGUUUUAUUUUAGCUUUGUUUGGGCUUGUAUUCUGGCCAUAUUUUAUCUUUUAAGUUUUAGAGUGUUGGGCCAUAUUUUGGACUUAUGUUUUAAUACUUAUGCGUUAUUUUAGUGUGUGAUUGGGCUUGGGCCUUAAGUGUUUAAGUCAGACCCAAGAAGAGUGUUUAGGGUUUUAUUUGUUUUUCUCCUUACUAUAUAAGGAUAAGAAACAAUUGUAAGAGGCGGUUUUUAAUCAAAAUUUCAGAAUUCUUCUCAUGCCUUUGGCGUGUAUUGCUUUGAGUGAGAGUGAGGAUUUGCUUUCAUCAAUUGCACCAGGAAUCUUGCCUUACUUAUCAACUAUUCGUUGUGGCGUUUGUCAUAUUCUCAUCUAAAUCCUUCAAUCAUUGGUGUUUCAGCUUCUCUAAGUGUGGGGUGCCAUAGGAGGUGGGUUUAUCAAAUCUUUGAAUUCCAUAUCUACUUGUGCGUGUGGGUUUGAGGCUUGUACCAUAGGGUUCCGCGUCAUUAUGUAUUUAAGUCAGGUCCAAGAAGAGUGUCUUAGGGUUUUAUUUGUUUUUCUCCUUAUUAUAUAAGGAUAAGAAACAAUUGUAAGAGGCAGCUUUUAAUCAAAAUUUCAGAAUUCUUCUCAUGCUUUUGGCGUGUAUUGCUUUGAGUGAGAGUGAGGAUUUGCUUUCAUCAAUUGCACCAGAAAUCUUGGCUUACUUAUCAACUAUUCGUUGUGGCGUUUGUCAUAUUCUCAUCUAAAUCCUUCGAUCAUUGGUGUUUCAGCUUAUCUAAAUGUGGGGUGCCAUAGGAGGUGGGUUUAUCAAAUCUUUGGAUUCCAUAUCUACUUGUGCGUAUGGGUUUGAGGCUUGUGCCGUAGGGUUCCGCGUCAGUUGGUAUCAAAGCCAAAGUGAGGUAAAUUCUUAUUUAUCUCAGGAUCUAGAGUU